ensembl:lncRNA
UUGGGGGAGUGGCCAAAUGGGGUGCGCUGGCCCUUUAAAUCUUCCUCUUCGGUGGUGCGGAGCAGGAAGCCACGCCCCCUUUGGGAAGCCACGCCCUCUUUAUGGAAGCCACGCCCCCUUUGGGGAAGCCACGCCCCCUUUCAUAAGGGGGAGGGGUCGUGCAGCCCCAUUUUGGGGAGUGGCCAAAUGGGGUGCGCUGGCCCUUUAAAUUUUCCUUCCUGGGUGGUGUGGAGUGGGAAGCCACGCCCCCUUUGGGAAGGCCACGCCCCCUUUCAUAAGGGGGAGGGGUCGUGCACCCCCAUUUUGGGGAGUGGCCAAAUGGGGUGCGCUGGCCCUUUAAAUCUUCCUCGUUGGGUGGUGCAGUGUGGGAAGCCACGCCCCCUUUGGGAAGCCACGCCCCCUUUCAUAAGGGGGAGGGGUCGUGCAGCCCCAUUUUGGGGAUGGCCAAAUGGGGUGCGCUGGCCCUUUAAAUCUUCCUCGUUGGGUGGUGUGGAGUGGGAAGCCACGCCCCCUUUGGGAAGCCACGCCCCCUUUAGGGAAGCCACGCCCCCUUUCCUAAGGGGGAGGGGUCGUGCACCCCUAUUUUGGGGAGUGGCCAAAUGGGGUGCGCUGGCCCUUUAAAUCUUCCUCUUUGGUGGUGCGGAGCAGGAAGCCACGCCCCCUUUCGGGGAGGCCACGCCCCCUUUCAUAAGGGGGCGGGGUCGUGCAGCCCCAUUUUGGGGAGUGGCCAAAUGGGGUGCACUGGCCCUUUAAAUUUUCCUCCCUGGGUGGUGCGGAGCGGGAAGCCACGCCCCCUUUGGGAAGCCACGCCCCCCUU